AACGAACGCUGGCGGCAUGCCUAACACAUGCAAGUCGAACGAGACCUUCGGGUCUAGUUGCGCACGGGUGCGUAACGCGUGGGAACCUGCCCUUAUGUUCGGCCUACCUCCCCGAACGGGGUGCUAAUACCGGAUAAUGUCUUCUGACCGAAAAUUUAUCGCCUUUGGAUGUGCCCGCGUUGGAUUAGCUUGUUAGUACGAUAAAAGCCUACCACGGCGGCGAUCCAUAGCUGGUCUGAGAGGCGGAUCAGCCACACUGGGCCUGCGAGACGGCGCAGACUCCUACGGGAGGCAGCAGUGGGGAAUAUUGGACAGUCGGCGAGAGCCUGAUCCAGCUGUGCCGCGUGAGUGAUGCAGGUCUUAGGGUUGUAAAGCGCGGUUACCCGGGAUCAUAUUGACAGUACCGGAAGAAUAAGCUCCGGCUAACUCCGUG
rnacentral:rRNA from 1 species